rnacentral:rRNA from 1 species
UACGGAGGGUGCAAACGUUGCUCGGAAUCAUUGGGCGUAAAGCGCACGUAGGUGGUCUGUUAAGUCGGAUGUGAAAGCCCUGGGCUCAACCCAGGAAGUGCAUUCGAAACUGGCAGGCUUGAGUAUGGAAGAGGGUCGCGGAAUUCCCGGUGUAGAGGUGAAAUUCGUAGAUAUCGGGAGGAACACCAGUGGCGAAGGCGGCGACCUGGGCCAAUACUGACGCUCAUGCACGAAAGCGUGGGGAGCAAACAGG